UUUAGUAUGGCAGAGCAAGUGCGGUAGAUUUAAGAUCUAUAUAUAAAAUUUUUAAAAUUUUUAUUAAAA
rnacentral:tRNA from 1 species